GGGGCGGGCUUGUUUACGGCCCGACUGCGCAGGCGUGCUCACCUGGCGCGCUCCGCGCGGCUGGGCGUCCGCAUGCCCCUCCCCCUGGCGCGGCCUCGGGGCCGCCCCCUGGCCGGACAGGUGGGCAAGGCACCGGCCGGGGGUCGGGCUGGCUGUGCCGCCUCCGCCUCCCCGCCACCCCCGGGGCCGAGCCGGAAAGCCGAAGCCACGGCAGGCCUGUGGUCGGGAGCGCAGAGGUGAACUCGAGCGGCCUCCUCAAGUGCCUCGGCCCCGCCCUGAGGGGCCCCGGGACCCCGGGGAGCGGAGGGAGAGGGCAGCCCCCCCCCCGUGCAGGGUCCGCACGUGGGGUGCCGAGAGCCGAGCCCCGGAGCCCCGGCGUUCUGCCUUCGGGAGGACGCGGGGCGCCCCGAGGCUGGGGGAGCCCCUCCCGCAGGCCCGCCCCGGGCCACCUGCGCGACCGUCGGGGAGCCCCGCAGCGCCUCCCGGAGCCGGUUUCCGAGAAGGUACCGAGGGGCCUCAGUUUCCCGCUUCGCGGCGGUUCUUUAGGCGGGGCCGGGGGAGAGCGCGCGGUGCGUGUGGACCCACAGCGCGUGUCUUUGGAAGUCGGCGCUCUGGACGCCUGUCGGCGGAGAACAUUGGCCAACGUGGAGCAAAUUACGUGUGGUUAACUGUGGUCCAGAAGCAGAUGAUCCUCCUUCUCACUGUUGUCAGGAGUCCUGCCUCACUAACAAAUAAGGUUCCAUCUCUUCAAUUUGUAAGGCACUCUGAGCGCUUCCUAAGAAAGCAAAUUCAUUAUUUUUUCGAGAUCCUCCCCACGCCCACCCAACACCGAACUCCUGGGAACGCUGGUGCGUCUUUCAAAGUUCCUUUGGUUGCCAAAAACAGGAACCUAGCUCCCAGUAGUGUAAACGCAAUGGGCUUGUGGCCUCCCAGCGCCGAGCUAUGGGAGACACGGGCUGGAGCGUGGCUUCCCUGCCUGCAUCUUGAAAGCUUCUCACUGUUUCUCAUCUCCGACUCUCCCUGGUGGCUUCAGUAUAACGUUGGAUAUGAGAAGGAGAAAUAAGCUCUUCCCACCAAUUCCAGUGAGAAAACACCCGGGGAAGGGCUGUGAUUGGUGCGACUGCAGUCUGAUCCUGUCCCAAACCAGUCACCACAGCCGGGCGCCCACCCUGCGGAACUAAGCUGGGCCACUCCGCCAGAGUCCCAGGCUCAGUGGGUCAGGAGCACGGCCCCGUGAGCAAAGGAGAAGGAACGCGCGCUGAGCUGAGCAGACAGUGGCCGUCCACCACGCUGAUCAGUGACCCGGUCCUCCCGGCCACCCCUGCUGAGACUCGGACAGCCUGUGCAGGGCAGGAGGGCCCCACUCCCCGAAGCUGUUGCAGAAGCGACACAGCGUCCUGCAGACCAGGACAGUUCAAGGCUGCUCAAGUGGGACUCUGUCCUCACAGCUCCCUGUGAGCAGCGAUUCCUCAGGCUGUGGCAAAGGCACAGUCCACCCAGGCCAUGCUCACACCCCACUCAGUCUCCUUGGGGUUCCAACAAACUGCUCUGUGGCCCUGGGCGCUUCAUCCUUUUCCGGGGUGUGUCCAAGAGCCAGCCACUGCCCAGGAUUCCUGCCUCGCCUCCUCUCCCCAGGGCAGAGGCCCCCCCUUCCUCCUGGUCCCAAGCUCAGCUCCAUUUCCUAAUCCAGGGGGCUUUUCAUUCCUUUUGGGAAAACCCCACUUUGUUAUAUUGGCUUGUUCAUGGGACAGUUUCCUUCAUAAUGAAGCAUCAGCCCCUCCUAAGGGGCUCUUUGUAGUGGUGCUGCUUCUGAGACCAAGCCAAGGGUGGCCCAUUAACAACUCAAAAUCCAAUGGCUCAGUCGGUGAAGCAUCUGCCUUUGGCUCAGGUGAUGAUUCCAGGGUCCUGGGAUUGAGCCCCUGCUCAGCGGGGAGCCUGCUUCUCCCUCUCCCUCUGCCUGCCGCUCCCCCUGCUUGUGCUCGCUCUCUGUCUCUGUCAAAUACAUAAAUAAAAUCUUUAAAAAAAAAAAAAAUCCACUGCCACUUCUUGAGCACUUACUAUGUACAAGGCAUCUCCCCUCCUUCAUCUAAUUUAACCCCCCAAAUACUCGCAGGAAGUAGGUAUAAUCAGUCCCGUGUGACUGAUAGGAGAAACUCUCACAAGGCAAGUGUGUGACAGAGCCUGAAUGUGAACAUGGUUUUUGA